rnacentral:rRNA from 1 species
GACAGAGGUGCCGAGCGUUAGGCGGAAUCACUGGGCUUAAAGCGCGUGUAGGCGGCCAGAUAGGUCUGCUGUGAAAACUCGAGGCUCAACCUCGAGCUGUCGGCGGAAACCAUCUGGCUAGAGUCCGGAAGAGGAGAGUGGAAUUCCUGGUGUAGCAGUGAAAUGCGUAGAUAUGCGGAGGAACACCGAUGGCGAAGGCAAUCCCCUGGACCUGUACUGACGCUCAUGCACGAAAGCGUGGGGAGCAAACAGG